rnacentral:rRNA from 1 species
CCUACGGGAGGCAGCAGUGGGGAAUAUUGGACAAUGGGCGCAAGCCUGAUCCAGCAAUGCCGCGUGAGUGAUGAAGGCCUUAGGGUCGUAAAGCUCUUUUACCAGGGAUGAUAAUGACAGUACCUGGAGAAUAAGCUCCGGCUAACUCCGUGCCAGCAGCCGCGGUAAUACGGAGGGAGCUAGCGUUGUUCGGAAUUACUGGGCGUAAAGCGUACGUAGGCGGUUAUUCAAGUCAGAGGUGAAAGCCCGGGGCUCAACCCCGGAACGGCCUUUGAAACUAGGUAGCUAGAAUCUUGGAGAGGUCAGUGGAAUUCCGAGUGUAGAGGUGAAAUUCGUAGAUAUUCGGAAGAACACCAGUGGCGAAGGCGACUGACUGGACAAGUAUUGACGCUGAGGUACGAAAGCGUGGGGAGCAAACAGGAUUAGAUACCCAGGUAGUCCACGCCGUAAACGAUGAUAACUAGCUGUCCGGGCACUUGGUGCCUGGGUGGCGCAGCUAACGCAUUAAGUUAUCCGCCUGGGGAGUACGGUCGCAAGAUUAAAAACUUAAAAUAGUAAUAGUACGGCGUGAGACGNGCCGAACGGACGACCGACGAAGGGGAAGGUAGG